GCCUGGGUGGCGAAAUUGGUAGACGCAGUGGAUUCAAAAUCCACCGUGGUAAAACACGUGCCGGUUCGAGUCCGGCCCCAGGCA
rnacentral:tRNA from 1 species